GCUAAGCCCUAAACAUUGAUAGUAAUUAUUACAUUACUUUCCGCCAGAGAACUACAAGUGAAAAACUUGAAACUCAAAGGACUUGACGGUGUCCCAUAUCGACCUAGAGGAGCCUGUCCUAUAAUCGAUACCCCCCGUUCCACCCAACCUCAACUAGCAAAAUAUCAGCCUAUAUACCGCCGUCGACAGUCUACCCCAUGAGGGCUCAACAGUAGACACAACAGCCUUAACGCUAAUACGUCAGGUCAAGGUGUAGCAAAUGUUGAGGAAAAGAUUGGCUACAUUUUUUAUGAUAAAAAACACGAAUUGCACUAUGAAACACUGCAUGAAGGUGAAUUUAGUAGUAAAACAGACAAGAGUGUCUGUUUUAACAACGCUCUGGGACGCGU
rnacentral:rRNA from 1 species